rnacentral:rRNA from 1 species
CCUACGGGAGGCAGCAGUGAGGAAUAUUGGUCAAUGGCAGAGAGGCUGAACCAGCCAAGUCGCGUGAGGGAAGACGGCCCUACGGGUUGUAAACCUCUUGUGUCGGGGAGCAAAGCGAACCACGUGGGGUUCAUUGAGCGUACCCGUAGAAAAAGCAUCGGCCAACUCCGUGCCAGCAGCCGCGGUAAUACGGAGGAUGCGAGCGUUAUCCGGAUGUAUUGGGUUUAACGGGUGCGCAGGCGGAGGUGCAAGUCAGCGGUCAAAUGGCGGGGCUCAACCCCGUACUGCCGUUGAAACUGCAGCCCUUGAGUGCGCGAGAGGUAGGCGGAAUGCGUGGUGUAGCGGUGAAAUGCAUAGAUAUCACGCAGAACUCCGAUUGCGAAGGCAGCAUACCGGCGCGCAACUGACGCUCAUGCACGAAAGCGUGGGUAUCGAACAGGAUUAGAUACCCUGGUAGUC